rnacentral:rRNA from 1 species
GACGAACGCUGGCGGCGUGCCUAAUACAUGCAAGUGGGACGCAAGGGAACACACUGUGCUUGCACACCGUGUUUUCUUGAGUCGCGAACGGGUGAGUAACGCGUAGGUAACCUGCCUAUUAGCGGGGGAUAACUAUUGGAAACGAUAGCUAACACCGCAUAAUAUUAAUUAUUGCAUGAUAAUUGAUUGAAAGAUGCAAGCGCAUCACUAGUAGAUGGACCUGCGUUGUAUUAGCUAGUUGGUAAGGUAAGAGCUUACCAAGGCGACGAUACAUAGCCGACCUGAGAGGGUGAUCGGCCACACUGGGACUGAGACACGGCCCAGACUCCUACGGGAGGCAGCAGUAGGGAAUCUUCGGCAAUGGACGAAAGUCUGACCGAGCAACGCCGCGUGAGUGAAGAAGGUUUUCGGAUCGUAAAGCUCUGUUGUAAGUCAAGAACGUGUGUGAGAGUGGAAAGUUCACACAGUGACGGAGCUACCAGAAAGGAC